ensembl:ncRNA C27H6.12 ncRNA
CCCUUCUUUUUCUCCCGUUUCUCUAUCGAUUCUGACAGAGCACAUAGUCCUCAGCAGUCGUCGUUUCGCUUAUUCCUCGCUCUAUUCGCCUCCUCUUUGAGAAAACGAAGAAGAAGGGGGAAAGAAAACGAGGACGAAAGGAGAAGACAAACGUCUUCUGGGAGAGCUUUU